GCCCCAAGCAGGAGGAGAAAAGCCAGACUCCGUGAAAACGAAGGCCAGUUGGGAUGGCAGUCAGACUAAGUGGCCUGACUCCGUUGGUGUUUAAGUGGAGCUCUGGUAUUCUAGUGCAUUCUUUUACCUCUGCUUCUGUUGCGUUGCAAGCUGUGCUAGAGAAGACGUAGGAAAUUCAUUUUACCCAAUCAGCAAUUGUAACAAUGGACUACAAACCUGCAGAGCAAGCCAGUUUGCUGGAAAACAGGAAUUCCUGCAGCGCAGCACUUGUCACAGACUACCCAAAGAGGGCAAAGAUUCAGGAAGGUGAAUAAAUUGAACAUUGCUUGAAUGAGGUCAGGAACAGUCUCCCGGAGGAGAACCCUGCCCUAAAAUACUACUUUGAAAGUAGAAGCCAGUUUAAUGUGCAGAUUAACCCUUCUCAUUUGAGCAAACGUGUGCAAUCCUGGAUCUUUGCAGAUCACAGCCGGACACUUCAAAAACCUGUGUACUACAUUUGUUUAAAGAAAAAAUAAAUCACAACUUGUCUUGUUACAGCUGUUACUUUUACCAUUUCUUUGAGAAUAUCUGCAACAUAAAUGUGUAUUUGACUUGCAACAGUAUCAUACACUUGGUAUAAUAACUCAGGUUGUCAACAGAAUUAUUCUGUGAGGCUCAAGGUUGCCUCUCCGUUCUUCUCUGAAAAAUGCAUUAACCGUUGCCGUCCGUACCAGAAGUCAGUUAUAGCCCAGUUAUGCAUUGCAAAAUUCUUCAUCAGAUACAAUGGUUGACCUAAAUUAUUAUUUGAUUUUUAUCCACCUAGAAUAACUAAGAUCCUAAGCAUCAGACUAGACCUUUGUAGCCUGGUGUUCACAAAAAUCAUACUCACUGGUUCAUGGUUUAAUCGUGCUACAUCUCAGUAUUUUGUUUCCUUUUCCCUUGCGUGCUAGGGGGUACGAUCGAGGUAAUACUGUGAUCCGGUAACGUGCGUCAUGGUAAGGGUAUGCCUUUAGUUGUUUCAGGAAAAAGCUGCCAUUAUCUGCUCUCCUUUAACGUUCUUGAUAGUUUCAAUAAUAUGCAUAACAUUAAAGUGUUUGUAAAUUGAUAUUAAACUGUUUGUGACUUCACCUAAAUAAAUUUUUUUAUAUAU